rnacentral:tRNA from 1 species
UUCCCUGUGGCUCAGUUGGUAGAGCAUGGUGUUUGCAAUGCCAGGGUUGUGGGUUCGAUCCCAUGGGGGACC